rnacentral:lncRNA from 1 species
GGUUAACCUGCCAAGACAGGCAGAGGAAGUCUGCCGAUAAUGAGCCAAUGGCAAGGACUCAUCACCCCGUGGUGGUUCCUACAUGCUGCCAUCUCAUUGGUCAAAGGUAUCCCCCAGCUUCCUGUCAGGCAUUUUCUGUUAUUCCAGCCCAAAGGAUGGCUAGCACAGAAAUUAGAGGAGCUGUACCGUUUGCUAAGGAUUGGCAUAGCCAAAGCGAAACUAACUUUAAAAUGAGUGGCCGUGUACUUGACCUCUGCCACACAUGGAACAGAGAAGUACACACGAUGGAGGUGGUGCUGCUUACAUACUUGGUUUAGAGCCAGAUGGCAAGCUCAAGCCUGUCCAUGGCCAAAGCUGAAUACUCUAUUCAACAUGCAAAAGCAGGUCCAAAAGAAGCAACUGUCAGAUGUGACUGAUAACUUCUCAUGGGAGAUCAUUAUUUCUACAGUAAUUAAAGAUUCUCAAAUGGUGUUACUUUGAAGCUGAUGAAUAGCUUUGCUAUACUAGGAAAAUUGAAAUGAAUAAUAUAAAAUUAAAAAUUAAUUUUAUAUCACAACUUUUUACAUGUUUAUAUUGAAUUCAAUAUGAAAGUACAAUAAAAUAAUGUGAGCUAAAUGCUUGGUUUAUCUGAAUAGUGCUAAAAAUAUGAUUAAAAAUAUAUGGUGAGUGCUGGGGAUUUAGCUCAGUGGCUCAGUGUCUGCCUGGGAAGUGUGAGGUCCUGAGUUUGAUUCCUGAUACCCCCCAAAAAAUGUGCUGAGAAAAAUAUAUGGUGUAAAUCAAUACAAAGUUUGCUUCUGAUUAAAAGAAUGUGAUAAAAAUUAACAGAAGGAAUAAAAUUAAAAUAGAGCUAAUACAAAAUAGGCUAAAAUAUAUAGAUGCAAGUGUAUCUGAAAUUAUUAUUUUACUUUACUU